CUACGUGCCAGCAGCCGCGGUAAUACGUAGGUCCCGAGCGUUGUCCGGAUUUAUUGGGCGUAAAGCGAGCGCAGGCGGUUAGAUAAGUCUGAAGUUAAAGGCUGUGGCUUAACCAUAGUACGCUUUGGAAACUGUUUAACUUGAGUGCAAGAGGGGAGAGUGGAAUUCCAUGUGUAGCGGUGAAAUGCGUAGAUAUAUGGAGGAACACCGGUGGCGAAAGCGGCUCUCUGGCUUGUAACUGACGCUGAGGCUCGAAAGCGUGGGGAGCAAACAGGAUUAGAUACCCUGGUAGUCCACGCCGUAAACGAUGAGUGCUAGGUGUUAGACCCUUUUCGGGGUUUAGUGCCGUAGCUAACGCAUUAAGCACUCCGCCUGGGGAGUACGACCGCAAGGUUGAAACUCAAAGGAAUUGACGGGGGCCCGCACAAGCGGAGGAACAUGUGGUUUAAUUCGAUGAUACGCGAGGAACCUUACCCGGGCUUGAA
rnacentral:rRNA from 1 species